GGUUAAGAAUAUUUUCAGUGACGUAACUGCGAGCGUAACCAGAUCAGUUUAAAUGAAAUAAAAAUGAAUUCGCUGCUGUGAAAACUUUAUGGCGGUAAAAAUAUAUCACGCUGGAAAAGUAUUGCAGAAACAUGAAGUCGACGAAGCACAGCUAGAAGACAGCAAGAUGACCUGUCAGCAACGUCGUUGAGUGACUCCUCUUGCACCUCGUGUACAUUCGUCGCCCGAUUUACAAUACUUGCAAUCCAUAAGACGAUGAAGAAAAAUGGCUUUUUUCGUACAAAUUUAGUAUCUGGCUCACCAUAACGUGAAUAAAAAAAAUGCUCGAAGAACUGCAGUUACGAAAUAAGAUAAUUUUGAGAUAAUCAGACAACACAUCGUAGACGUCACAGAUAUUCGAACGACAAUUAAUUAUUAAAUUAUAGAGCUAAAAACUUUUUGUAAAUUAAUAUGAUGUUUAAAUGCAGUGUGAAGAAAAUUCAAUCGCGUUCAUCUAGACGGGUAAGGACAGGUCUUAUUGCUAAAAAAUCUUUAUGCGAAAUUAAUGUCCGUAUGAAUCUGUUUCGUGUAAGCCGACACCACGUGCGACUCACCAUCUCGUAGAGCGCGAGAGUUCUCUAAUUUAUUACAUAAGCAAUCCCCUGUGCCUCUUAAUUCGCUAAGGCAAUUCAAGGAAAUCGUCGAUAGGUGGCUAAAUCGAUGAAACAAAGAGGCAUUUUAUCUUACAAAUGGCGACGAUGCGAAACUCGAGACUGAAAUUAUUGAUUCGAGAUCUCAGGAGCUUUGAAGUUGAGACCUAGCGAAAUCCUGGGAGAACCUCAGAGAACCAGGGAGAGAGAAACAUAGGAGAGAAAUGAAGAGAGUAAAAGAAAUUGCGAUUGAACACCAGUCUGAUUCAUCGCUGAAUUUCCCAAGCACGUUCUUUAUUUCUCUUCCUUGACCGCGAUAAUGAGAUCUGGAUCGAGUGUCACGAUACUAUUUUCGGACAUGACAGGAUCAAUAACCCGACCACAUUUCCGCGAAGAAGAGGUGCAACACAUGAUUUUAUAGGAAGUCCCCAAAGGUGCCGACAAUAUUUGAACACGUGACAGAAGGAACUCCAUAUUACUCAAAUAAGUAUAUCUUGUCUAACGAAAAAGGAAGGUCCCGAUGUGCUCGUCAGUUUUAUGGCUGGGUCAGGCAACAAGCUGUUCCAAUAGAAAGUCGUUGGGCAUUACUAGCAGUAACUUAGUAUCGUUCAUGGUCUUCUUUAUAACCUCCUGUGGAGAAUUUUGAGCUACGGUUCCUUUUUAAUUCUUCAGCGGAAAAUCUUCUUUUCUCCGUCCAGGAAGAGAAGACAAUAAAACGACCAAAAAUACACGUCUGGAUCUCAGAGUCAGAGUGUAUGAAGUCACACUUCACAAAUUCACAGAAGAGAAAAUCAAAGAUGUGGAGAUCACGAUUGAAAUAUAGUUGAGUCAAAACAAAAUUAUUUUAAUAUAAAAUAAAAAUAUUAUUAAAAAUGUGGACGUAAUACACUCUGUCUCUGGGGUUAUUGCUUCACGUGCCAACUCACCAGACAUAAUAUAAAAGUUCCAGUAACCGCAUAGCCUGUUGAUUCUAUUAAAAAUUUGAAUUAGUAAAACAUGUUUAAAAUAAGGAAUGACGAUAAUUGUAAAGAGUCCAAACAGUUUUAUUGCACGUAAGGAAUGAUCGAAGCUACGGAAGAGAGAUUGUAGUGACAAAAGCGAAUAAUCAUUUUAUGCUAGCUAGAGGAAAGCAUACCUAUUGCGCGGGACGACGCUUCAAACUGUCUGACGAACGAGAAGAGUUCUCGGAAUUCAUGAACGAGAAGCAAGGGAAUAGGAAGCUUGUCGUUAUCGAAAAAAAAUUCUUUAUCGUCACCGCAAAACUAACGUCAUCUUGUUAAUGUUUACUCCAUUCGGCUUGAUACAUACACACGACAACCGUAGAACUCUCAUUACACUUAUACGUCUUAUUCUGUGUGUGUAGACCCUCGUUAUAUCGCCGUUGAUGUAUUAUGGCAGUGUGACAAGGCAACUUCACACAGAGAUGGCAAUAUAACGAGAGUCUACCAUAAUUCAAUUCGCAACAGACAACUUAAAUUAUCAAUAUUUAUUCAAAUCAAUAUAAAUAUAAAUAGGAGCAGAAUGUGCGCAAUCAUCGAAGCGGCUAUAAGGAAAGAGGUUUCUUUAGCGUGGCUCGCGACGCAUGUACAACGCCUCCAACGAUUCUUGAGCACACGAUCGUCGCACGUUUCACAUACUGUACUUGAUCUGGUCGUAAUACAUCGUCGUCGAUGGCGUCGUGGUCGUGUGAUGAAUGUUCGAGGAAAC